AGCUUUAACAUGCAGUCGAACGGCAGCGCGAGAGAGCUUGCUCUCUUGGCGGCGAGUGGCGGACGGGUGAGUAAUAUAUCGGAACGUGCCCAGUAGCGGGGGAUAACUACUCGAAAGAGUGGCUAAUACCGCAUACGCCCUACGGGGGAAAGGGGGGGAUCGCAAGACCUCUCACUAUUGGAGCGGCCGAUAUCGGAUUAGCUAGUUGGUGGGGUAAAGGCUCACCAAGGCAACGAUCCGUAGCUGGUUUGAGAGGACGACCAGCCACACUGGGACUGAGACACGGCCCAGACUCCUACGGGAGGCAGCAGUGGGGAAUUUUGGACAAUGGGGGAAACCCUGAUCCAGCCAUCCCGCGUGUAUGAUGAAGGCCUUCGGGUUGUAAAGUACUUUUGGCAGAGAAGAAAAGGUAUCUCCUAAUACGAGAUACUGCUGACGGUAUCUGCAGAAUAAGCACCGGCUAACUACGUGCCAGCAGCCGCGGUAAUACGUAGGGUGCAAGCGUUAAUCGGAAUUACUGGGCGUAAAGCGUGUGUAGGCGGUUCGGAAAGAAAGAUGUGAAAUCCCAGGGCUCAACCUUGGAACUGCAUUUUUAACUGCCGAGCUAGAGUAUGUCAGAGGGGGGUAGAAUUCCACGUGUAGCAGUGAAAUGCGUAGAUA
rnacentral:rRNA from 1 species